UACGAAGGGGGCUAGCGUUGUUCGGAAUUACUGGGCGUAAAGCGUGCGCAGGCGGCCAUCCAAGUCAGUGGUGAAAGCCCGGAGCUCAACUCCGGAAUUGCCAUUGAAACUGUUUGGCUCGAGUACGAGAGAGGUGAGUGGAAUUCCCAGUGUAGAGGUGAAAUUCGUAGAUAUUGGGAAGAACACCGGUGGCGAAGGCGGCUCACUGGCUCGUAACUGACGCUCAUGCACGACAGCGUGGGGGAUCAAAACAGG
rnacentral:rRNA from 1 species